ACGGCUCAGUAACACGUGGACAACCUACCCUAUGGAGGGGGAUAACCCCGGGAAACUGGGGAUAAUACCCCAUAGACUAUGAAUGCUGGAAUGCUUUGUAGUUGAAAGGUCCGCCGCCAUAGGAUGGGUCUGCGGCCGAUUAGGUUGUUGUUGGGGUAACGGCCCAACAAGCCUGUAAUCGGUACGGGUUGUGGGAGCAAGAGCCCGGAGAUGGAUUCUGAGACACGAAUCCAGGCCCUACGGGGCGCAGCAGGCGCGAAAACUUUACAAUGCGGGAAACCGUGAUAAGGGAACUCCGAGUGCCCGUAAAAUCGGGCUGUCCAUCUGUUUAAAUAACAGGUGAAGAAAGGGCCGGGCAAGACCGGUGCCAGCCGCCGCGGUAAUACCGGCGGCUCGAGUGGUGGCCACUAUUACUGGGCUUAAAGCGUUCGUAGCUGGUCUGUUAAGUCUCUGGGGAAAUCUACUGGCUUAACCAAUAGGCGUUUCAGGGAUACUGGCAGACUAGGGACCGGGAGAGGUGAGAGGUACUCCAGGGGUAGGAGUGAAAUCCUGUAAUCCUUGGGGGACCACCUGUGGCGAAGGCGUCUCACCAGAACGGCUCCGACAGUGAGGGACGAAAGCUGGGGGAGCAAACCGGAUUAGAUACCCGGGUAGUCCCAGCUGUAAACGAUGCGCGUUAGGUGUAUCGGUGACCACGAGUCAUCGAGGUGCCGAAGAGAAAUCGUGAAACGUGCCGCCUGGGAAGUACGGUCGCAAGGCUGAAACUUAAAGGAAUUGGCGGGGGAGGAC
rnacentral:rRNA from 1 species